rnacentral:rRNA from 2 species
UUUUAUGGAGAGUUUGAUCCUGGCUCAGGAUGAACGCUGGCGGCGUGCCUAAUACAUGCAAGUCGAGCGAACAGACGAGGAGCUUGCUCCUCUGACGUUAGCGGCGGACGGG